GGGUUGUGAGGUUAAGCGACUAAGCGUACACGGUGGAUGCCCUGGCAGUCAGAGGCGAUGAAGGACGUGCUAAUCUGCGAUAAGCGUCGGUAAGGUGAUAUGAACCGUUAUAACCGGCGAUUUCCGAAUGGGGAAACCCAGUGUGUUUCGACACACUAUCAUUAACUGAAUCCAUAGGUUAAUGAGGCGAACCGGGGGAACUGAAACAUCUAAGUACCCCGAGGAAAAGAAAUCAACCGAGAUUCCCCCAGUAGCGGCGAGCGAACGGGGAGCAGCCCAGAGCCUGAAUCAGURUGUGUGUUAGUGGAAGCGUCUGGAAAGGCGCGCGAUACAGGGUGACAGCCCCGUACACAAAAAUGCACAURYUGUGAGCUCGAUGAGUAGGGCGGGACACGUGGUAUCCUGUCUGAAUAUGGGGGGACCAUCCUCCAAGGCUAAAUACUCCUGACUGACCGAUAGUGAACCAGUACCGUGAGGGAAAGGCGAAAAGAACCCCGGCGAGGGGAGUGAAAAAGAACCUGAAACCGUGUACGUACAAGCAGUGGGAGCACGCUUAGGCGUGUGACUGCGUACCUUUUGUAUAAUGGGUCAGCGACUUAUAUUCUGUAGCAAGGUUAACCGAAUAGGGGAGCCGAAGGGAAACCGAGUCUUAACUGGGCGUUAAGUUGCAGGGUAUAGACCCGAAACCCGGUGAUCUAGCCAUGGGCAGGUUGAAGGUUGGGUAACACUAACUGGAGGACCGAACCGACUAAUGUUGAAAAAUUAGCGGAUGACUUGUGGCUGGGGGUGAAAGGCCAAUCAAACCGGGAGAUAGCUGGUUCUCCCCGAAAGCUAUUUAGGUAGCGCCUCGUGAAUUCAUCUCCGGGGGUAGAGCACUGUUUCGGCAAGGGGGUCAUCCCGACUUACCAACCCGAUGCAAACUGCGAAUACCGGAGAAUGUUAUCACGGGAGACACACGGCGGGUGCUAACGUCCGUCGUGAAGAGGGAAACAACCCAGACCGCCAGCUAAGGUCCCAAAGUCAUGGUUAAGUGGGAAACGAUGUGGGAAGGCCCAGACAGCCAGGAUGUUGGCUUAGAAGCAGCCAUCAUUUAAAGAAAGCGUAAUAGCUCACUGGUCGAGUCGGCCUGCGCGGAAGAUGUAACGGGGCUAAACCAUGCACCGAAGCUGCGGCAGCGACRCUGAUGYGUUGUUGGGUAGGGGAGCGUUCUGUAAGCCUGYGAAGGUGUGCUGUGAGGCAUGCUGGAGGUAUCAGAAGUGCGAAUGCUGACAUAAGUAACGAUAAAGCGGGUGAAAAGCCCGCUCGCCGGAAGACCAAGGGUUCCUGUCCAACGUUAAUCGGGGCAGGGUGAGUCGACCCCUAAGGCGAGGCCGAAAGGCGUAGUCGAUGGGAAACAGGUUAAUAUUCCUGUACUUGGUGUUACUGCGAAGGGGGGACGGAGAAGGCUAUGUUGGCCGGGCGACGGUUGUCCCGGUUUAAGCGUGUAGGCUGGUUUUCCAGGCAAAUCCGGAAAAUCAAGGCUGAGGCGUGAUGACGAGGCACUACGGUGCUGAAGCAACAAAUGCCCUGCUUCCAGGAAAAGCCUCUAAGCAUCAGGUAACAUCAAAUCGUACCCCAAACCGACACAGGUGGUCAGGUAGAGAAUACCAAGGCGCUUGAGAGAACUCGGGUGAAGGAACUAGGCAAAAUGGUGCCGUAACUUCGGGAGAAGGCACGCUGAUAUGUAGGUGARGUCCCUCGCGGAUGGAGCUGAAAUCAGUCGAAGAUACCAGCUGGCUGCAACUGUUUAUUAAAAACACAGCACUGUGCAAACACGAAAGUGGACGUAUACGGUGUGACGCCUGCCCGGUGCCGGAAGGUUAAUUGAUGGGGUUAGCCGCAAGGCGAAGCUCUUGAUCGAAGCCCCGGUAAACGGCGGCCGUAACUAUAACGGUCCUAAGGUAGCGAAAUUCCUUGUCGGGUAAGUUCCGACCUGCACGAAUGGCGUAAUGAUGGCCAGGCUGUCUCCACCCGAGACUCAGUGAAAUUGAACUCGCUGUGAAGAUGCAGUGUACCCGCGGCAAGACGGAAAGACCCCGUGAACCUUUACUAUAGCUUGACACUGAACAUUGAGCCUUGAUGUGUAGGAUAGGUGGGAGGCUUWGAAGUGUGGACGCCAGUCUGCAUGGAGCCGACCUUGAAAUACCACCCUUUAAUGUUUGAUGUUCUAACGUUGACCCGUAAUCCGGGUUGCGGACAGUGUCUGGUGGGUAGUUUGACUGGGGCGGUCUCCUCCUAAAGAGUAACGGAGGAGCACGAAGGUUGGCUAAUCCUGGUCGGACAUCAGGAGGUUAGUGCAAUGGCAUAAGCCAGCUUGACUGCGAGCGUGACGGCGCGAGCAGGUGCGAAAGCAGGUCAUAGUGAUCCGGUGGUUCUGAAUGGAAGGGCCAUCGCUCAACGGAUAAAAGGUACUCCGGGGAUAACAGGCUGAUACCGCCCAAGAGUUCAUAUCGACGGCGGUGUUUGGCACCUCGAUGUCGGCUCAUCACAUCCUGGGGCUGAAGUAGGUCCCAAGGGUAUGGCUGUUCGCCAUUUAAAGUGGUACGCGAGCUGGGUUUAGAACGUCGUGAGACAGUUCGGUCCCUAUCUGCCGUGGGCGCUGGAGAACUGAGGGGGGCUGCUCCUAGUACGAGAGGACCGGAGUGGACGCAUCACUGGUGUUCGGGUUGUCAUGCCAAUGGCACUGCCCGGUAGCUAAAUGCGGAAGAGAUAAGUGCUGAAAGCAUCUAAGCACGAAACUUGCCCCGAGAUGAGUUCUCCCUGACYCCUUGAGRGUCCUGAAGGAACGUUGAAGACGACGACGUUGAUAGGCCGGGUGUGUAAGCGCAGCGAUGCGUUGAGCUAACCGGUACUAAUGAACCGUGAGGCUUAACCUUACAACGCCGAAGCUGUU
rnacentral:rRNA from 1 species